UGCGGUUGGAUCACCUCCUUUCAAGGAAGCGUCCUGACAUGUUGGGAUGCUCCUGCAGAAGUCCUGUUUGGAUCAGACAGGCGCGCCCUGAUGCUGGCGGCAUGGAUUUUGGUCUGUGCGGGCUGAGGCGCCGUCAACAUAUCCCUUCCUUAUGAUGUAUGGUGUUUGGGCUAGUAGCUCAGUUGGUUAGAGCACACGCUUGAUAAGCGUGGGGUCGGAGGUUCAAGUCCUCCCUGGCCCACCACGUUUGUGGUGGCGUGUUGCGUGUAGCGGUGCGCCUGGGGGGCAUAGCUCAGCUGGGAGAGCACCUGCUUUGCAAGCAGGGGGUCGUCGGUUCGAACCCGUCUGCCUCCACCAUGCGUCGUGAGGAAAGAGGAAAGAGUUUCGUUUCUGUCUGUGUUGUGAGCUGUGAAUACGGCCAUGCGCGGGCGGGGCGGGAAGGUUGGUUCUUUGUCAGUGUGAAUAGGUUGGUGCGCUUUCUGGGCGUUGCCGUUUGUCCUGGGUUGGUCUGACCCGUUGGGCGUGGGGAUUCCUGCGUCUGAUGAGAAGGGCGGCGGCGGAAGACGUUCAGAAGGUGAGAGAAAGAAUUGCGUGCGAUGCGCUGCACUUUCUCAUGUGUGGCGAUCAUUGGCAUGACGGCCUGUUGUGGAGGCCUUGAAGGCGAGAGCUGGAGAGGUCUGUGCGAGGGGCCCGAGCGUGGAUGGUUGCUGUGCAUGUGUGGCGUGAGCAUGAGAAGGGCAUUCGGUGGAUGCCUAGGCACA
rnacentral:tRNA from 1 species